UUUUCUCUGACUUCCAUGGCAACACUUACGUCAUAAUAACAAUUCUAAAAUAAACUAAGUUAGGAUUUUUGCUUUGGAAGAAAAUGUGAGGUUGCGUGAUUUUUUUCUACGAAGCAUUGACUUGAAUUAUGUGAGAAAGCCGUUCACUUCAUUUCCAGUCAACCACCAAAUUCUAUUUCGACCGAUACCAGCCAUAGAGGCGUACCGCUAAAUCAGAAGUGAGAAACCCACGUUACUUUGAGAUUUAAUUUACUGGGACUUCCCUAUUUGUGUUUUUGUGUAAGAAGGAAAGCCUGGGCGAAAGAAUGAGGUGUAUAUAAUGGAUUUUAUAAAUUGUUUCGUACCAACAUUUCCUCCCUACACCUCUAGAUAAAGAAUACCUCACUAGUUGAAUAAGACGACAGGCGAAAUUUGAAGUCCCAGUCACAUCUUCACAACAAUUUUUGACUCAACUCUCAGUAUAGAGUCAGAAAACACGGCGCAAUACAUUUCUUAUGUUCUUCACUCCAGUUUCUAAAUUGUUCCUCACUUUUUUGAAUGGUCAUUCACAAUAGAAACCAAACUGUCCUCAUACCUUACCAUCUACAAAGGUUACAUCAGAUAAUGAAAAUAAACGAGGUGAAUCAUUCACGAUAAACCUACUCAGUCAGAAUUGACCUGGGAUUAAAUAACUACAGCCUUCAUUUACAACCAACCAGCGCCUUUAUUCAGUCAAACUACUCAACCCAACAUGAUAGAUCAUUUCUCUUUUCAAAGUACGCAUCAACGAGUCUAUUGAUUACUGUUUUUACGAUGUAAACCAAUAUGUUUCUUCUUACUCUAGUUUUCAGUAAAUCGUUUUCAUUUAU